rnacentral:sRNA from 1 species
UGGGUUUUACCUGUAUAUGCUUGUACUUUCUGUGACGGGCAGCCAUAACCAGACCAUCUUCUGUCCAUGCUGUAACCUCGAGUUCAUCACUAGGAAA